CCUACGGGAGGCAGCAGUGGGGAAUAUUGGACAAUGGGGGAAACACUGAUCCAGCGACGCCGCGUGAGUGACGAAGUCUUUCGGUACGUAAAGCUCUAUCAGCAGGAAAGAAAAUGACGGUACCUGACUAAGAAGCCCCGGCUAACGACGUGCAAGCCGCCGCGGUAAUACGUAGGGGGCAAGCGUUAUCCGGAUUUACUGGGUGUAAAGGGAGCGUAGACGACAGCGGAGGUCUGGAGUGAAAUGGCGGGACGAACCCCCGGAACUGCUCUGGAUACUGUGAAGCUGGAGUGCAGGAGAGGUAAGCGGAAUUCCUGGUGUAGCGGUGAAAUGCGUAGAUAUCAGGAGGAAAACAGACGGCGAAGGCAGCAUACCGGCGCUCAACUGACGCUGAGGCACGAAAGCGUGGGGAUCGAACAGGAUUAGAUACCCUAGUAGUC
rnacentral:rRNA from 1 species